CAGAGAGAAGAGUGAAUGGUUUCUCUGACUGGACUCAGGGCUUUCCAGAGAAAGAAGUCUGGUCCAGGGCAAAGGGGCAUUGUUCCCUGAUGACUGUUGGAAAGUGGAGUGCUCUGGAAGGAAGGGGUCUGCAGCUACCUGAAGGUGGUGGUGUGGACAGAGUCACCUCGGGAGGUAAAGCUUCACUUGAUGGAUUUGGAGGGCUGCAAUUGAGCCUGUUAGCACCAGAUCAUUCUGAAUGUGGGGUGAAAUCACCAGCGUUCUCGGCAGGGGAGAGACUCUAUCCCCUACCCAACACAUCAUCUUAAAUGACCAAGUUCAAGGGCUAGGAUGCCUUCCAAGAGAGAACCUUGGCUCAGUCGUUCCAGUGCCUGCCUCGCAAGGACAAGGUCCCGAGUCUGAUCCCUGGUACAAAAAAAGAAGAGAGAGAGAGAGAACCUCAGGGAAGAGGUAGAAGGGAGGACAAGGAGGGAUCGAACUCAGGUCCUUGCGUUUGUGAGGCAGGCGGUGGAACCACUGAGCUAAAUCCCAG